rnacentral:rRNA from 1 species
UACAGAGGGUGCAAGCGUUAAUCGGAAUUACUGGGCGUAAAGCGCAUGUAGGUGGUUUGGCAAGUUGGAUGUGAAAGCCCUGGGCUCACCCUGGGAACUGCAUUCAAAACUACCAAGCUAGAGUAGAGUAGAGGGAAGUGGAAUUUCCGGUGUAGCGGUGAAAUGCGUAGAUAUCGGAAGGAACAACAGUGGCGAAGGCGGCUUCCGGGACUCAUACUGACACUGAGGUGCGAAAGCGUGGGGAGCAAACAGG